rnacentral:rRNA from 1 species
UACGAAGGGGGCUAGCGUUGCUCGGAAUUACUGGGCGUAAAGGGAGCGUAGGCGGACAUUUAAGUCAGGGGUGAAAUCCCGAGGCUCAACCUCGGAACUGCCUUUGAUACUGGAUGUCUUGAGUGUGAGAGAGGUGAGUGGAACUCCGAGUGUAGAGGUGAAAUUCGUAGAUAUUCGGAAGAACACCAGUGGCGAAGGCGACUCACUGGCUCAUUACUGACGCUGAGGCUCGAAAGCGUGGGGAGCAAACAGG